AUGUCCAAGCAAGCUCCACUCGAGUCGCCAAGGACAAUGGCCAGCCAGGGAUCGAAGCCGAGGUGGAGAGGAAGCAGCAAGAGGCGAGUCCACCCGAAGCAGAAGAAAUCCAAGAAGAUGCCCCCAAGGAGGAAACGGCGUAGAGACGUCGACAUCAUCCGACACGGGGAACACCGGGUCCGAGAUUUCUCUCGGGAUCUGAGUGCUUGGGGGGGAGGGAAACAAUGCCAAACUCGACGCCUUCAAGAAGGAAAAAUGGCGGCUGCAGCCGUCAUCGUCGAUGAAGUUUUCACCCGACAGUGCCUCCUCCACCUCGCAACCGGAAAGUCGGCCAACCACCGCCGUAGCCCAUCAGGCUAG
rnacentral:rRNA from 1 species